rnacentral:rRNA from 1 species
UGGGGAAUAUUGCACAAUGGAGGGAACUCUGAUGCAGCAACGCCGCGUGCGGGAUGACGGCCUUCGGGUUGUAAACCGCUUUCAGCCAUGACGAAGCUUUUGUGACGGUAGUGGUAGAAGAAGCACCGGCUAACUACGUGCCAGCAGCCGCGGUGAUACGUGGGGUGCGAGCGUUGUCCGGAAUUAUUGGGCGUAAAGAGCUUGUAGGCGGUUUGUCGCGUCGAUAGUGUAAACACGCAGCUUAACUGUGUGCCUGCUGUCGAUACGGGCUGACUAGAGGAGGGUAGGGGAGAAUGGAAUUCCCGGUGGAGCGGUGGAAUGCGCAGAUAUCGGGAGGAACACCAGUGGCGAAGGCGGUUCUCUGGACCUUUCCUGACGCUGAGAAGCGAAAGCGUGGGUAGCAAACAGG